rnacentral:lncRNA from 1 species
GAAAAUCAUCAUAUUUAUGAAGGAUCUCACUCACUCAUAACUUGCUAUUAAAAUCCUUCUUUUGAAUGCUUUUCCCUCUAUACCACUGGACAUGCAAACUAGAUGAGGUCAAACUUUUAAGUUUGCUUCGAUUCUGGUAUCUGGACUUUUGUGGAUGUUUGCCUGAAUCAAGCUGUAAGUAAUUCCUGAAAAGCAUCUGACUUUGUGAAGCAUAAUGUGCCUUCAUCUGCUUCUUGACCCACAGUCUGCCAGAAUAUAGCUUCUCUCUCAGUUUUCGUUGGAUGUCUUCCAGCCUUGCUGUAUUUUCCAUUUCACCUCCUUUAUGAAGUGUAACUAAGUACCUCUUGAGGACUACUCUAACAUGGUUGGUUUGUUUGAGUUGAUAAUUUCUGGAGUUAUACAGCUGGGCCCAUGUUUUUAAGUUUCCCAUUACUUUUUUUUUUUUGCCUUGGAAUGGUUCAAGGAAAUGCACACAAACUCAAAUCUGCAUGGAAGGCUUAACGAGAGAUGUUGACCUGUGUGUUUCUAGCCUGUUUCUACAAGAUUUGAAUUCUGUAUGGAACUUCCCUUACAUAUUCAAAGAUGAAAAUAAUGAACAGCUACUUUUUCAGCUAGAAAACAAUGCAUCUGAGCAGUUGUAGAACAUUGCAUUGACAAACUUUCCUCUUUUUGCUUGCCACAUUCUCUUUUUAUGAUGGAAUGAUCUUGAUCCCAAAAGUUAGCCCCUUCUGGCUUUUCAAGAUGUGGCUGUAAAAUGCGCAAGGCAUUGUGGAGCA